rnacentral:rRNA from 1 species
UUCGGAUUGUAGUCUGCAACCCGACUACAUGAAGCUGGAAUCGCUAGUAAUCGCGGAUCAGAAUGCCGCGGUGAAUACGUUCCCGGGUCUUGUACACACCGCCCGUCACACCAUGGGAGCCGGUAACGCCCGAAGUCAGUGACCCAACCGUAAGGAGGGAGCUGCCGAAGGCGGGACAGGUAACUGGGGUGAAGUCGUAACAAGGUACC